UACAGGGGGCGCGAGCGUUGCUCGGAAUCACUGGGCGUAAAGCGUACGCAGGCGGGUCGAUAAGUCCGUUGUGAAAUCCCGGGGCUCAACCCCGGAAAUGCGAUGGAGACUGUCGAUCUUGAGUACGGGAGAGGGGAGCGGAAUUCCUGGUGUAGAGGUGAAAUUCGUAGAUAUCAGGAGGAACACCGGUGGUGUAGACGGCUUUCUGGACCAUAACUGACGCUGAGACACGAAAGCGUGGGUAGCAAACAGG
rnacentral:rRNA from 1 species